CUUUAUUAUCCAGGACUAAGGAAUUACUGGACAUAUGCAGGAACUGGUAACAAAUGAACUGAAAAAAUGGUAAAAUAAUUCCUUUGUCCUAUUUAGUUUGAAUAUUUUAACAAGUUAGCAUUUUUAACAAAGUAAGUGUAGGGGCUCAGAUUAAGAUUUAUAUCAUUUUAGAAGCCAUCUAUAACUGAUUUUAAUAUUUCCAUGCUUUGAAUUAGGGUGUAUCUGCCUAGCGGGUGAACCUCCAUAACAUGGGCUGUGAUUUUUGUUACAGUAGCUGGUGGAGAACCUGAGCUAGGGG